rnacentral:rRNA from 1 species
ACUCCUACGGGAGGCAGCAGUGGGGAAUCUUGGACAAUGGGGUCAACCCUGAUCCAGCCAUGCCGCGUGAGCGAUGAAGGUCUUAGGAUUGUAAAGCUCUUUCACCGGGGAAGAUAAUGACGGUACCCGGAGAAGAAGCCCCGGCUAACUCCGUGCCAGCAGCCGCGGUAUAAU